UAGGGAAUAUUGGACAAUGGGUGAGAGCCUGAUCCAGCCAUGCCGCGUGCAGGAAGAAGGCGUUAUGCGUUGUAAACUGCUUUUGCCAGGGGAUAAAAUGACCGUGCGCGGUUAAUUGAAGGUACCUGGUGAAUAAGCCACGGCUAACUACGUGCCAGCAGCCGCGGUAAUACGUAGGUGGCAAGCGUUGCUCGGAAUCACUGGGCGUAAAGCGCACGUAGGCGGACUCUUAAGUCGGUGGUGAAAUCCUGGAGCUCAACUCCAGAACUGCCUUCGAUACUGAGAGUCUCGAGUCCGAGAGAGGUGAGUGGAACUGCGAGUGUAGAGGUGAAAUUCGUAGAUAUUCGCAAGAACACCAGUGGCGAAGGCGGCUCACUGGCUCGGUACUGACGCUGAGGCGCGAAAGCCAGGGGAGCAAACGGGAUUAGAUACCCGAGUAGUCCCUGAGCGGGCUGGCAAGGCGCAU
rnacentral:rRNA from 1 species